UAGCGAAUUAACUGGAGGUGAAAACAAUUCCAGCACAUUUCUUCAGCUGCUGGCAAUACAUGUAACUCCAUUGUCUUUAAUAACGAGUGCUAAUUUUACACCUGUUAAGGACUUGAUAAAGAGUAGUGUUGGCAGGCUAGUGCUUUCUGGGGUGGAUAAUGAGCCAUUUUGUGCCUCUGUGUCUGAUUUCUCACUUGCUUGUGUUGGCUGGAGCAUUAUGAGGUCUCUGCCAUGGCUGACUUGUACUGGGGUGUGGAUACAGGCAGGGAUUUGAAACAAAUGGGGGGGGACCCUCUCCACCCUCACAGAGCCCCACAAUAUCACCCUUCUUUUGGAGGAGGUUCACUGUCACAUUCCUCUAACUUGCUCCGCCAGAGUAUGAGUUGCUCCCCACUGUCUUCAGAGAGUUACCUACCUGUUGUGAGCCCAGCUGAUGUAUCUGUUGCCGGUCAAAAGGUUGGAGAGAAGAUCUCUGAGGGAUUAGAUCAAAUGCAUCAGUAUCCAGAAACACCUUAUUUUUGUCCAAGUCUGUGAAUGGCUUUCUUGCCAUUUGUACAAUGGAGCCACACUGGUACUGCUGUCACAGACCUCCUGCAGCUACUAGGAUGGGAUGCAGAUGGUUUUCUUCACUGUAAUCGCCGCAGAAAUUUCACUUGAUUGGUCUACUGUGUAGGAGCUUGAUGUCUUUCCAGAUACACCACUUCUGUGAGGGCUAGGGGAUGGGAAGCUCAACACUGUUACCUUCUGCUCUGACUUUCUCACACCACAAAGCCAGACCUGCUGAAAUUCCCUGAAUGUGGAGCGUAACAUAACAUGCCUGUUGUUUCUGCAACACACUGACAAAGCAAGGUUUCUAUGAAUAUAUUCUUCCUGCAGCUCUAGCCAUCAUUUGCUAUCAAGUUCUUCUGCAGUUUUGCACUUGUAAUAGUGAGUGAUAGAGCUAACUAUUUUCAAAAUAGAAAAAUGUCUUUUAAAAAAUCCAGAUACUGUUUUGCUUUGUUUUAAAAGCCUUGUUUUCUUUCCACAAGUGGGAAGCCUGUUCAUCACAGAGAAUGUGUCUAGGCCAAGUUAAAGCAUUUGACUUCAAAGUAUCAUUCCAAAACAGACAGCCACAUAUAUGUCUCCCUGUAAACAAAUAGGCAGAAAAACGAGAUUUUUUUUUUAAAUCAUCACAAAAGAGAAAUGUCUUAGACGUUGCAGCACUGCAGACUGGUUUUCCUGGGGAGAACUUUAUAGCUUGUUUACUACGCUGAAAUCUGUCUCUCGCUUUACCAACUGCUUCCCAAGAUGUUGACUUUGUCUUACCAUGUCCCUUUCGUUCUUUGUUGUGUUCUUUCUUUUCUUGCCAGAUUUCCAGAGUUUUGUCUGCAUGCUUCAAUACGCUUCCUUUGUUAUUUUUUAUCAGCAAAGUUUUCUAUCUCUGUAUUGUAGGCUAAGUUGUCAUUGGCAAAGACAGUAGGUUGUGCAAGAAAAUGUGCCUUAUCUCCAGAAACAUGGAGACAGUGAUUACACCCAGAUACUGGCUCACUGGAGAGUGAUGGUGGUGCACAUAUUCAAGGGGCUGUCCCUUUGCUGUAAUGUUUUAUAUUUGGUAUCAAAUAUGAGGCCUGAAAUGUGACAGCAUUGUGAGUAUGGUAACCAGUGCAGUGACGAAACAGAUGUUUGUGCUGUACCUGAAAGCCACAAAAUAACGUAUGCUAUGGUUAUGAGCUAGCAGAAUAUCUCUGGCAAGGUCAGCAAUGGCUUUUGCUGUCUUCUAGUCAUUGCUGUCCAAAUGUUUGUGGUGAUGUUGGCCUUGACUGCUCUGGAGAAAGAAGGCUAUUCUUAUCUUUAAAUUUAUGGCUCAGGAACAGGUCCAUGCCAAAACAGACUUUAAGCAGAUCUGUGCUGUUUCUAAACCCAUCUGCCCUGUGUUUGUGAAGGCUGUAGAGACAGCAGAGCUGUGCUGGUUUUCAAAGGUACCACAGAUCUUUUUACAGACUGCAGUCUUAAUGUUUACCAGGAUCAUCUGGAAAGCUAACAAAUCCCCUUACAUUCAUUCUUUUAUGUCAAGUUUAACUAUUUUAAAUUCUUAUGGGUAUUAAACACUGAAUUGAUUUAAUCUUAGAUAUUUGGCACAGUAUUUGCACAGUGAUUAUAGUGAGUUUUGCUAAUUGAUUUAAGAACGAAUUCAGAUUGAGAUCCCAGUGGUUUUGGCUCAUCUUCACCUUCAGCCCUGGUGUACAGCAGUGACUGAAGUACGAGCUGCUGCUUUCUGCAAAUGCAGGCACAGUUCGUGUGCCCUGUGUUGUAUCGUGGUUUGAGGCACAUCAGUCUGCUGAUGACUUUAAAUGUUUUAUGUAGUUUCUAUAGAUAAAAGAUACCUGUGCUUGAAUGUGGCAAGUAUACAUCCCAUCUCUAGUGCUUGUAGCCAGGAGUGCCUUCUUUCAGGGGAUGAGGAUUUGAGAAGCUUGCAGCUUCACUACUAACGGCAGAAAAAGUCAGAAUUCAAGGGUGUAUUUGAAGUAAAAUGUAUAUAACUCUAAACCUGUGAGUUCAAACAGGUAUGAGGUUUGGGUUUAAAGUCCAUUUUUUCAGAGCAAAUGCUAUCUAUAAAAUAAAAAAAAGUGGGCCUAUUUCUACA
ensembl:lncRNA